CUCAGGACGAACGCUGGCGGCGUGCUUAACACAUGCAAGUCGAACGGAAAGGCCCUUCGGGGUACUCGAGUGGCGAACGGGUGAGUAACACGUGGGUGAUCUGCCCUGCACUCUGGGAUAAGCCUGGGAAACUGGGUCUAAUACCGGAUAGGACCACACACUUCAUGGUGAGUGGUGCAAAGCUUUUGCGGUGUGGGAUGAGCCCGCGGCCUAUCAGCUUGUUGGUGGGGUAAUGGCCCACCAAGGCGACGACGGGUAGCCGGCCUGAGAGGGUGACCGGCCACACUGGGACUGAGAUACGGCCCAGACUCCUACGGGAGGCAGCAGUGGGGAAUAUUGCACAAUGGGCGCAAGCCUGAUGCAGCGACGCCGCGUGAGGGAUGACGGCCUUCGGGUUGUAAACCUCUUUCAGUAGGGACGAAGCGAAAGUGACGGUACCUACAGAAGAAGGACCGGCCAACUACGUGCCAGCAGCCGCGGUAAUACGUAGGGUCCGAGCGUUGUCCGGAAUUACUGGGCGUAAAGAGCUCGUAGGUGGUUUGUCGCGUUGUUCGUGAAAACUCACAGCUUAACUGUGGGCGUGCGGGCGAUACGGGCAGACUAGAGUACUGCAGGGGAGACUGGAAUUCCUGGUGUAGCGGUGGAAUGCGCAGAUAUCAGGAGGAACACCGGUGGCGAAGGCGGGUCUCUGGGCAGUAACUGACGCUGAGGAGCGAAAGCGUGGGUAGCGAACAGGAUUAGAUACCCUGGUAGUCCACGCCGUAAACGGUGGGUACUAGGUGUGGGUUUCCUUCCUUGGGAUCCGUGCCGUAGCUAACGCAUUAAGUACCCCGCCUGGGGAGUACGGUCGCAAGACUAAAACUCAAAGGAAUUGACGGGGGCCCGCACAAGCGGCGGAGCAUGUGGAUUAAUUCGAUGCAACGCGAAGAACCUUACCUGGGUUUGACAUGCACAGGACGUACCUAGAGAUAGGUAUUCCCUUGUGGCCUGUGUGCAGGUGGUGCAUGGCUGUCGUCAGCUCGUGUCGUGAGAUGUUGGGUUAAGUCCCGCAACGAGCGCAACCCUUGUCCUAUGUUGCCAGCGGGUAAUGCCGGGGACUCGUAGGAGACUGCCGGGGUCAACUCGGAGGAAGGUGGGGAUGACGUCAAGUCAUCAUGCCCCUUAUGUCCAGGGCUUCACACAUGCUACAAUGGCCAGUACAGAGGGCUGCGAAGCCGCAAGGUGGAGCGAAUCCCUUAAAGCUGGUCUCAGUUCGGAUUGGGGUCUGCAACUCGACCCCAUGAAGUCGGAGUCGCUAGUAAUCGCAGAUCAGCAACGCUGCGGUGAAUACGUUCCCGGGCCUUGUACACACCGCCCGUCACGUCAUGAAAGUCGGUAACACCCGAAGCCAGUGGCCUAACCUUUUGGAGGGAGCUGUCGAAGGUGGGAUCGGCGAUUGGGA
rnacentral:rRNA from 1 species